rnacentral:rRNA from 15 species
CUCACAGGUCAGUGCCGCGGAGCUACCAUCUGCUGGAUAAUAGCUGAACGCCUCUAAGCUAGAAUCCAUGCCAGAACGCGGUGACCCCCGCCUCCUACGCGAACAAGAAUAGGCUUCGGCCUCGUGUCCUAGCAGGCUGGCAUUGGCGGCGUCCGGAAGCGGGCGUCUCUUGGCUGGCGAAUUGCAAUUGUACCGGUGGCGGGAGAAAUCCUUUGCAGACGACUUAGCUGUGCGACGGAGUCCUGUAAGCAGUAGAGUAGCCUUGUUGUUACGAUCUGCUGAGGGUAAGCUCC